rnacentral:rRNA from 1 species
GACGGAGGAUGCAAGUGUUAUCCGGAAUUCACUGGGCGUAAAGCGGUCUGUAGGUGGUUCAAUAAGGUACAACUGUUAAAAUCUUGAGGCUCAACUUCAAAAUCGCAGGUCGAAACUAUUGGACUCGAGGUAUGAGUAGGGGUAAAGGGAAUUUCCAGUGGAGCGGUGAAAUGCGUAGAGAUUGGAAAGAACACCAUGGCGAAAGCACUCUGACUGGCCGACACUGACACUGGAAGAGACGGAAAGCAUAGGGGGAGCGAAAUCGGG